rnacentral:lncRNA from 1 species
AUUUCAAAGAAUUACAAGCAAGGAAUAAAUGUGACUAUCUCCAAGUUGCAAAUGUGAGUUAAAAUUGUUUGAAAGAGCAUUUAUUCACUGAAAAUAAACUGUACACAUACACAAUAAGGGAUAUUGAUGAACUAUUAAUAGUUAUUAUCUCGAGGAAGUAUAUACAUACAGAAUUAUGCACUUAAAAUAAAAAUUUUAUCCUGUUAGUUUGCAAGUUCUUUCUACAUGAAAUGCAUGAACAGAUCAUGCUUUCUUGGUUUUACUGUGUUGCUCACGUAAAGAUUAUUCAGGUGAUGGCUUGGCACGGUGGCUCAUGCUUGUGAUCCCAGCACUUUGGGAGGCCGAGGCAGGCAGAUCACUUGAGAUCAGGAGUUCAAGAUCAGCCUGGCCAACAUGGUGAAACCCUGUCUCUACCAAAAAUACAAAAAUUAGCCGGCUGUGGUGGCACAUGCCUGUAGUCCCAGCUACUUGGGAGGGUGAGGCAGGAGAAUCGCUUGAACGUCGGAGGCAGAGGUUGCAGUGAACUGAGAUCACACCAUUGCACUCCAGCCUGGGCAACAGGGUGAGACUCUGUUUAAAAAAAAAAAAAUUUCUUCAGGUGACCCAACAUGGAGGAGUGAGCCGUCAAAGUCAGACGAUCUAAGCUUCCAGACUGUUUUGAACCUCCCAUCUUCCAUUUCUUCUUGGAAUCUGCAUAUCAAAAUUAAAAUAUUUUGGGGGACCAGUUUUACUGAGUGGAAUUAAACUAUCCAGCAUUUUAAAAUAUGUUGGACAUGUUUUUAAGAGGAAGAUCUUGUUCAGCUUUUGGCUCCUGCUUGAGCAAGCUCAAGGAGCAAAUGCUGAAACAUCUCCCCACUGCAAUGUCAACUCAUUAAUGAGAAGCAAAGUCCAACUGAAUUCAGCUGCAAAUUUCAGCAUUAACAAAAUCUGAGCCAACUUCAGGACAAAGCCGAAAGGAACUAAUGUACCAUAAAUUUACCCAUGCCAACCUCUACGCUGCAGACAAGGCAAGGAGAAUGUGUGGGUUCUGAGCAAGGGCAGGGCAGGGAGGGUUCUCUCCUUCAGGAUGUGAUCAUUUCAAUGUGCCUAAUUCAGUAGAAAUGUUUUUAUUCAAAUGAAGAGAGGGCUUUAGUUAUCCUGGAUGGGGAAUUUAUUUUACCACUACAGAAAAGGCACUGGGAAUUAAACAUUUUUAAGAUUACAAGUAAAUGGAUUCUUGGAGGCAAAUGGAUUGUUGAUACCAGUUUUCUCCCAUUCAUUUUUUUUGAAGAGGAUAAAAUAGACUUUCCUUUGUGGCCUGGGAAAGGAAGUAGCUGGGGCGGGGUGCCAUGCUGUGGCAGGCUGUAGGAAGAUAGGCAGGCCCUUGUGGUAGAAGCCCUUUUGGCUGCUUGCAUCAGUGGUUACAAGGAAGAAAUCAGGGAUACAUUUGCAAUAAAGAGAAAUAAUCUGCUGGGCACGGUGGCUUACAUCUGUAAUCCCAGUACUUUGGGAAGCCGAGGCAGGCAGGUCACCUGAGGUCAGGAGUUCGAGACCAGCCUGACCAACAUGGAGAAACCUCAUCUCUACUAAAAAAAGACAAAAUUAGCUGGGCGUGGUGAUACAUGCCUGUAAUCCUAGCUACUUGGGAGGCUGAGACAGGAGAAUCGCUUGAGCCCAGGAGAUGGAGGUUGCCGUGAGCCGAGAUAACGCCAUUGAACUCCAGCCUGGGCGAUAAGAGUGAAACUCCAUCCAAAAAAAAAAAAAAAGAAAUAAUCUUUGGUAAGAUUCUGUUUUGGGAUUUGCUGAAACCCAAGAAUGUUAGCUGCUUUGGCUAGCUGAGUUUCGCUGUGUUGGCCAGGCUGGUCUGGAACUCCUCACCUCAGGUGAUCUACCCACCUUGGCCUCUCAAAGUGCUGGGAUUACAGGCGUGAGCCACUGUGCCUGGCCUUUAAAAGCUUUUCAGUUGAAAGGUAAUCUUGGAACACAGGUGGGUUCCAGUUGCUUGGAGCAUGAGGAACACCUGAUUGAAUGUCCUAACGUCAGACGUGUGUCUGCAAGUGGAAAGUGAAGCCUGCUGCAGGAAGAGGGAGGUGGUUGGUGCUUCCUAGAAGGGGUGGGCCUUUAAUGACUGCACCUGCACAGUGCUAUCAGGUCCUUAUUGUGGGACCGAAUCACUGACAUCCUAAUGAAAAAAUUAGCUAGGCCAUUUGCAGGUACAAGAGCACAGGUGGUCCUUGUGCUCUUUUUUGAUUCGUUUGAAGGUAGGUGUGAUUUGCCUUCAGGACUUCAUCAGCAACAAUAGGAUUUGAAUAAGUGGAUAGGCUGCUGUAUGUGGUUGUGUACAAUUUUUAAAGGGCUCUUGUACACAGGGUGGGGUGUGGGCAGGGAGAACAAAGCAUGGUCCCCAGUGAUGUUUAGUAAAAAUAUGUCUAGAAAGUUAAUAAAACUCUGGUCUGUGCUUAAGGCAAUAACAACAUGAGUCUCUGGCAUGAAUCUGUGUCCUGUUUAGAGGACAGGUUGUUUGUAAUCAACCCUUAUUCUGUCAUCUAGAGUUCCGUGUUUUAAGCAAUGAAGACAGAAACUCUAUCAAAAGUUUCAUGCCUCAGAAAUUUGUUUUAUCUUUACUUUGUGAGUUUAUAAAACUUCAUGUACCCUGAAUCUUUCUUAUGUCUUCGUGGAAAAUAAUUUUGGGGGAGCACUUUUUUCUCACCCUAAUAAACAUGAAAAAGACUUUCAGAACAGAAGUACUUUAGAUCUAGCAGAUCUAGCAAACCAGAUGCUGCUUUUCUGCUUUUGAUUCUAAAAUAUGCAUAUUCCUUUCCUGCAGCUGGGCAGCACAUGACAAGAAAAAGAAAAGACUUCUGACAGCCCUUUUAUUCAUCCAGUAAAUGUGAGCAACUCAAAUAUUAGCCUAAGGAACACUCAAAAGGUAGCAUCUGAGAGACAGGCUAAGUUGAUGGUUCUUCAUUAGGCAGCUAUGUGUUUGGAUAUAAAGACUGAUGAUGAACUUGGUUGUCUCCGAGACCAGUACUUCCCCUAUUUCACUGUGUAUACAAAUCACUUGGGGGUCCUGUUAAAAAUGCAGAUUCUGAUUCAGUAGGUCUGGGCUGGGCCUGAAAUUCCACAGUCCUUGGUAGCUCCCAGGUAAUGCUGACGCUGCUGGUUCCCAGGCCACAUCUUGAGUCACAAGGGGCUGGACAAUUUCUUGUUCUAACAAAGGCCUGGAGAAGGCAAUUUUCUGGAAUGGCAGAUGGAGACACCCUCAGAUUUCCCAGAAAUAUGAACAGAAAAAAGACGAUUUAAUGACUUAAAAGUCAGAACAUGGCACAAAAUAAAUUGUAAUGUUAAAAAAUGCAUAGAAUAGGCUGGGUGCAGUGGCUCACGCCUGUAAUCCCAGCAUUUUGGGAGGCCAAGGCGGGCGGAUCACAAGGUCAGGAAGAUUGAGAACAUCCUGGCUAAUACGGUGAAACCCCGUCUCUACUAAAAAUACAAAAAAAAAUUAGCUGGGCGUGGUGGCGGGAACCUGUAGUCCCAGCUACUUGGGAGACUGAGGCAGAAUGGCGUGAACCUGGGAGGGGAGCUUGCAGUGAGCUGAGAUCGUGCCACUGCACUCCAGCCUGGGCGACAGAGCGAGACUCCGUCUCAAAAAAAAAAAAGCAUAAAAUAAUAUUCCAAUAAUUAUGACACAGGCACACAGAAUCACCAUUACAUAAGAUGCAGAUUGUAAGAACGCCAUCCCGUGAGCAGGUCAGCCUGCUUCCCUUGACGAUCAUUUCCUCUGCAGAGAUUACAUUAGGAGGAACAUGAACUGUUGCAAUUGGGAUAAAAUUCUGCUGAGAUGUACUUAAACAGUAAUUACUGUUUACUCAGAGCAGAAAACAAUUUAAACCAGGUGAUGAGAAGGAUGUAGAAUUCAUUAGUUUUCUUGCCCACAGCUCCUCUAGGAGAAAAGAAUCUGAUUGCUUGAAAAAAAAUUGAUUUAAAAAAUGGCAAAUGGAGGUAAUUUUAGAUAUGUAUUCACAAAGCUGCCCCAAACAUACUGCCCUAUUCAGAAGUUGUUUCUAUUUUUUUUCCCCCAAAGAACUAACAUAAGCUCAAAAGAUUGAGACAGACUUGCACAGAAUCACUGGGAGGCUAAGUGUGCUGAGGUUGCUUCAAGGCAUGACUCAGGUGUGGGCCCUGGAGACCCUCUCCUUGUAGAGCCUCACACAUCAUUUCCCCUGUAACACUGAUCAGAUUCUGUUUGGCAAAGAUCACAGCAUAUACUGGGAGGCUUGGAGGACAUGGCUAAAAAUACAGCAAAAUUACUCCAGUUAUAGUAUCAUGGAACUUCUGAGUCACUGCAGAACUCAUAGAACAAAAUGAAAUGAUCAAAGUAGAACAUAUUUAAAACACACGCACACACUGAAGCAACCCUAGUUUUUUGACAUAAUAUCCUCUAAGGACAAAAACAUAGAUUGUGACCAAGACUAAUGGUGCAGAUUUUACUCUAAUUUCCGGUAGUGGAAUUUCAAAGCCAAGAACUAUUGUUGAACUUGAAUCUCACCAUUUCACAGAGCAGCCAAUCCCGCUUUGACUCAUUCGUCCCCUAACAGAAAGAGAUCUUCAAAAUAGCACGGCGGAGCUUCUGAUGGCUGAAGUGCUGCUGAGUAGAACUUGUGCUUUAAUUUCCUUUCUGGUCUUUGUUGACCGUUGUGGCACUGUGAACUGUUGCUUUAUCUCGUAUUUUUUUUUCUGUUAUUGUAGUUGUACAUUUUAAAUACAAUCUUUCUAUUGAGAAAUAUCACACUGACGGUGAAUAAAUAUUAUUCAUGCAAGUAACUAUCCUUCCAGCUAUCCCCAAAUCAUCCUUUUCAUGUUCCUGCUCAAUGAAACUUUCAAAAUCAUUUAUUCACUCAUAUUUCUUGGCAAGUUUUCCUUGAUUGCCUGCUGUGUAGAAGCAGAGAAAGUGACAGGGUGAUGUCCUCCAUUGCUAUUAAAGCCCCAAAGGGCUUUGCCCAGGGUUCCGCUUGUUUUUUAGUGAACUGUGAGGUGGAAUUACCCAGGAUUAUCACAUGGUUAGCCCUGUUGACUGACUCUGCCUAGAUACCCAGAACCCUGGAGUGUUCUUCACGCUAACAGUCCUUUCUUCCUGUGCUUCUAGAGACCAGGCAGAAGUUACCAACUUCCCGGAAUAAUUGUCAGCUGUGCGUUUUGGUUGUUUGGGUUUAGCUUCCUCUCCGUUCUCUAAAUAUUUUCUUUUUCAAAGUGCCUCACUUCCUUUGUUAGAAACUAAGUUUCCCUGACCUUCUCUUUUCCUUUCUGUUUCUAAUGGUCCUUGAAAUGAAAAUAGUUCGUUGAGUUUCCUUAUGUGUACUUGGGCAGCCUACUCAAUGACUCCUGGGAGAAUAAUAGCUGGUGACCUGUGGCGCUCUCCGUUGAGAGAGAAUGCGCAGUUUGCAUUUUGGCAGCUAAACAUAGGGAUGGAUUUAAAAACGAAUGUGUAAGUAGCUGGAUAAUAAUUUCCAGUAUGAUGUCAACAUUUCUUUAAAACAAAGCCUUAAUUUCUAAUCUUCUGUCACUUUGGUCUCAAGGAUGAGUUUGCCUUUAUGAAUGUAAUAUGGCAAUCUUGAAAGCCUUACCUCAAGUCAAAUAUUUCUUCUUGAAGAUGUUCUACUUUGCAAGGUACUGCCCACAGGAACGUAUACCCUAAAUAAUGACUUUUUUUGUUGUUGUUGGCUUCAAAUUCUGGAUUUAGUUUUAUUUUCUCCUAAAAUUGUGAGUGUAGUCGUGAUUGCUUUUUUACUACCAUGUCAUACUAUUUCCUCCUUGGGGGUCCUAUGCAAAUUGCGUAUGGUCCCAUCCACUUCAUUUGGUACUUCCCUUAUGAACUAGAAAUCUUCCAAAUGGUUCUUUGCAUAUCCUGAUCGGACAUAUUCUCACUGAAGUCUCAGGACCAACCCCCGCACCUUGUCAUAUGUGUAUGACUUAGUUUUUGACUUCCUGGCUUAGUGCUUUCUGGUUUAGGGUUGCUAUAAUUAUUGUCUUCAGCAAUUGUUCAUUUUUCUUUCUUUUUAUCCAUUACUUCUUUUAUGUCGAAAUUUCCCCACGUGAUCAAGUAAUUAUUCUUUGUAACUUUUCUUGGCAGAGAUCAGCCCGGAUUUCUUACUGUGGAUGUGGCUUUGAUUUGUGUCCUAGUCCUUUUUUGUUCCCAAAAUAGCCCAAGGAGUCCAUUCCUUCUACCAAACAACCAACCAUCUGAGUGAAAUAAAUAUGUUUAGCUACUUGAUUGAGCCACUAUUAGAUGGGGGUUAAAUUGCCAUAUACUGUGGAUUUCAGGCAUCUUAGUAUGUAGGUCAAAUUCUCUAGUGUAUUACUAGUUUGAUGGAUUACUUUAUUUUUAGUGGCCUAACUACAUGAAGUUAUGUGUUUAAAAUGUGGCUGGAAUCUAUAGGAUAAACAGUUGCAACUCUAAUAACAUGGCUACAAAUCUCCAGCUUAAUAUGUGAUAAUAAAUACAUUGUAGUAUUGGGUUGAAGAGGAUUGUAUAGGAAGCAGAAAAACCGAGAUCUGUCCCAGCACUGCUACAACACACCUCUUUUUACCCAUCUAGGCCUGAGUUUCUCAUUGGUACAAUGAGGAAUUCAACUAUAGUUUCUGAGGCCUUGUCUAGCUCUGAAAAGCUAGGAUUCUACUUUCAAAUGGAUAUCAGCUGCCACUUCUUGACUUUGGAAGACGGUGUAGACCAUUAAAGGAUCCUUCUUCAAAUUUCUAUGUCUCUUCUUUUUUUUGGAGAUAGAGUCUCGCUGUUUCGCCCAGGCGGGAGUGCAGUGGUGCGGUCUCGGCUCACUGAAAGCUCCGCCUCCUGGGUUCACGCCAUUCUCCUGCCUCAGCCUCCCGAGUAGCUGGGAGUACAGGUGCCCGCCACCACGCCCAGCUAUUUUUUCUGUAUUUUUAGUAGAGAUGGGGUUUCACUGUGUUAGCCAGGAUGGUCUUGAUCUCCUGACCUGGUGAUCUGCCAGCCUUGGCCUCCCAAAGUGCUGGGAUUACAGGCGUGAGCCACUGCGCCGGGCCUCUAUGUCUCUUCUUAUCUUUGGUUUCAGAAGACAGUUUAAUCUUAUAGCAGAAAACACUUUUUAGUGAAACAAACUGGAUCUUGCCGUGAAACAAGGAAUAACUGAUUAAUUUGGCAGAAUGACAUCAACUUAUUUAGGUUGCUUUGUUCUAGAUUGUUUUAUUCAGUAAUUAGCUCUUAAGACCCCUGGGAGCCUGUGCUCUACCCAGACACUAACAACAGUCUCUAUCCAGUUGCUGGUUCUGGGUGACGUGAUCUCCCCAUCAAGAUCAACUUACUUCCUGUGGCCCAUUAGGGAAGUGGUGACCUCGGGAGCUAUUUGCCUGUUGAGUGCACACACCUGGAAACAUACUGCUCUCAUUUUUUCAUCCACAUCAGUGAGAAAUGAGUGGCCCGUUAGCAAGAUAUAACUAUGCAAUCAUGCAACAAAGCUGCCUAAUAACAUUUCAUUUAUUACAGGACUAAAAGUUCAUUAUUGUUUGUAAAGGAUGAAUUCA